AACUUUAGUUGGCGGACGGGUGAGUAACGCGUGAGCAACCUGCCUUUCAGAGGGGACAACAGUUGGAAACGACUGCUAAUACCGCAUGAUAUACCGAGAAGGCAUCUUCAUGGUAUCAAAGAUUUAUCGCUGAAAGAUGGUCUCGCGUCUGAUUAGCUAGAUGGCGGGUAACGGCCCACCAUGGCGACGAUCAGUAGCCGGUCUGAGAGAAUGAACGGCCACAUUGGGACUGAGAUACGGCCCAGACUCCUACGGGAGGCAGCAGUGGGGAAUAUUGGGCAAUGGGGGAAACCCUGACCCAGCAACGCCGCGUGAAGGAAGAAGGCCUUCGGGUUGUAAACUUCUUUUACCAGGGACGAAGAACGUGACGGUACCUGGAGAAAAAGCAACGGCUAACUACGUG
rnacentral:rRNA from 1 species